rnacentral:rRNA from 1 species
GCUGGCGGCGUGCCUAAUACAUGCAAGUCGAGCGGAUCGAUGGGAGCUUGCUCCCUGAGAUCAGCGGCGGACGGUUGAGUAACACGUGGGUAACCUGCCUGUAAGACUGGGAUAACUCCGGGAAACCGGGNCUAAUACCGGAUAACACCUACCCCCGCAUGGGGGAAGGUUGAAAGGUGGCUUCGGCUAUCACUUACAGAUGGACCCGCGGCGCAUUAGCUAGUUGGUGAGGUAAUGGCUCACCAAGGCGACGAUGCGUAGCCGACCUGAGAGGGUGAUCGGCCACACUGGGACUGAGACACGGCCCAGACUCCUACGGGAGGCAGCAGUAGGGAAUCUUCCGCAAUGGACGAAAGUCUGACGGAGCAACGCCGCGUGAGUGAAGAAGGUUUUCGGAUCGUAAAACUCUGUUGUUAGGGAAGAACAAGUGCCGUUCGAAUAGGGCGGCGCCUUGACGGUACCUAACCAGAAAGCCACGGCUAACUACGUGCCAGCAGCCGCGGUAAUAC